UAUUUGUUUGCUAGGAUAAUGGCGUGAACAGUCACUUAAACAUUAAAGUGGUAAACAUUUUUUAAAGUUGUGUAUCCUAGCUUAUGUGUAAAUGCAGACAUCAUCCUCGAUGUCUGCACGUGAGCUCAUUAAGCUUAAUUUCCACAACGACUUUGUCACACGUGCUUACAUCUAAAGCAUGAAAAAUACGUUUUACCAGGUCCAUUACUUCAAGUAGGCUAAGGUUUGGUGGCCUGAAGUUCUUCUUCUGCAAGAAACAAAAGUUACAACUGCAAUGGUCUUUCAGUAUGAAAACUUUACCUUAUUUACAGUGUCAGCACAGAUUUUAUACCUCCAAAUCUUAUGGUGGUAUAAUCUUUCGGGAACAAUUUCCAUCCGAGUCCUCAACAUGGGAAGUUUCAACAGCUUUUUGGACCCGAUACCUUGCUAGCCAUGAAGAUGGUGCCACCUCAACCUCAUUUUGCUCAAUGAAAUUGAGUAAUACAUAGCGAAGAUAAACCUGCAAAUGAAAUUUAGAUAAAUCUGUUUUCAAAAAAUAAUUGCACUGGAGAGCAAAUCACUAGAAGACAGAAGGAAGCUGUAGGAGGCAGAAACAGAUGGGACAAAUCUUCACAAGAGAGAGGCCAAGGGGUGAAGCUGUAGAAGGCAGAGACUCCAGGGCAAAGCUUCAGGACCAAGAAUCUCAGAGGUACAGGCGAAGCAGUUAGACUCACAGGGGACAAAGCUUAAAGAGGUGGAGACACAGGGGUGAAGCUGAAGGAUGUAGAGCCUCAGUGAGCAAAGAAAUUCUUCAGAAAGUAUGAAGAAUGGACACCACAAUUUUGAUCCCGUAGUUUUCCAAAA